rnacentral:rRNA from 1 species
UACCGCGGUUAGACGAGUAGCCCAAGUUGACACCCGCAUCGGCGUAAAGAGUGGUUAAUAGUAAACCCCACUAAAGCAAAACACUUUCAAAGCUGUCCUACGCAUCCGAAAGUGGGAGCCCCCCUCACGAAAGUAGCUUUAUAACUUAUGACCCCACGAAAUCUAAGACA